rnacentral:lncRNA from 1 species
GGGUGCUGGGGUCUCAAUAUUCUCUUUGAGGACAACUCCUCAGUAACCUAACUUCCUUCCACAUCCUGAAGGUUCUGUUACCUCUCCAUAGGUUGGCAACCAAGCCUUUAGCACAUGCUUUUUGGAGGAUUCUCCCAAAUCAUAGCACUGCUGAAUUUCUAAUUUGUGUCAGUUUUCUAGACUCCAGACAUCUCCUGGCUCCGGCUGCUUGCCUCCCUCUGACUGCACCCACAGCCUUGAUAUCUGUGAGUCAAGAAGCAGGACCUAGCAGACAUGGGAUCUGCUGGUUCCUUAACUUGAACUUCUGGCCUCCAGGAGGAUAAAUGUAAGUCCACUGUUUAUAAGCCACCCAGUUUUUUGUGUUGUGUUAUAGCAACCUGGGUUAAGCACGGAUUAACACAAUGGCUAAGAGGGAAAUGGAUUCACCACAAGGGAUAAAUCUGCUGUAUCUUUCAGUCUGACUUGGGGAAUUGUUGAAAAGUCAAAAUUGUUUGGCUGGGAAGCAUUUUGAAUGGACACAGAAGCUUGGCUGUGAGAUUGAGCACCUUGACAUUUCUCAACUGGAGUUUCCACUCGGGUCCUGAUUUUUGGCACCAGAGAGGAGAGAAGCAUUUGGCAUUAGCUGUCAAAAUGAACUGAAGAUUGCUUUUGAUAUUCUGGGUCUCUUCUGGUUUCAUAUAAAUUUUAGGAUUGUUUUUUCUAGAUCUGUUGGUAUUUUGAUUGGGAAGGAGUUAAAUAGACGUAUCAGUUUUGAAAAUAUAGACAUUUUGAUUUUAUUGGUUCUGCCCUCCAGGAACAGGGGAUAUCUUUCCAUUUUCUGAUGUCCUCCUAAAGAAAUGAUGAAAGUAGAGCUUUUGCAAAUAAGGAGGGGACCACUAGUUGCAAGGAGCAGGGGUGGAAGGGUUAAGGAUAGGGGAGGAAAAACAAACAAACAAACAAACAAAUAAACAAAAAAAGAGAGAAUUAAGUUGUGCUAUGUAGGGCUGGGGAUUUAGUGCAGUGGUUCUGUCCACUCCUCGCAAGCCUCAAGGCCCCAAGUUCGAUCCCUGCUACCAAAAAAAUAAAUAAAUAAAUAAAAUAAAGAUGUGCUAUGUACAUAUGUAUGUGUUUUAACUUCCUUGGACAGUUAUAACCAUUAUUCACUGCA